GACCAGACUGGAACAUGUCAGAAGGCUAUGGAAGAGAGACCUUCAGGAAGGUGAGAUGUGUCUGAACAAAUCAAGAAAGAUUAAAUAACUGUGGAAGAGAAGUACAUAGAGGGGCUGGGGUUGUAGCUCAGCAGUAGAGUGUUCAUCUAGCACAUGUGAGGCCCUGGAUUCAAUGCUCAGCACCACAUAAAAAUAAAUAAAUAAAAUAAAGGUAUUGUGUCCAACUACAACUAAAAAAUAAAUAUUAAAAAAAAGAAUUACAUAGAAAUCCCUGUAAAUUUAUGAUUAAAAAAUAUUGUGGGCUGAGAUUAUGGCUCAGUGGUAGCGCAUUUGCCUGGCAUGUGUGAGGCACUGCGUUCGAUUCUCAGCACCACAAAUAAGUAAAUGAAUAAAAUAAAGGUUCAUCAACAACUUAAAAAAAAAUUUCAAUAACCUAGGACUGAGGGUAGAACUUUGGUAACACUGCUACCAGGCACCAGGCUCUGCAUUCCAGCCCCAGCACUAUACAAACAAAAAUAGAAUAACUUUUACUACCUCUGGGGAAAAGAAAAGUGGAAUAGAAAGGAAGAGUAGCCAUGAUACAUCUAAGAGUUUAUGUGCAUGGGCUGGGGCUGGUGCUCAAUGGUAAAGCACUUGCCUAGCAUAAAUGAGGCCCUGGGUUUGAUCCUCAGCUAUACUUAUAAAUACAUAAAAUAAAAGUCCAUCUACAACUAAAACAAAAAAUGUUUUUAAAGAGCUCAUGUGCAAAUCACAUUUGCAUAGUCAUAAUAAGGGCAACAUCAAAGACUACUGUAUCUAAAAUCAUAAUAUUGCUACAUUGGGAAGAUGAGAUGGGCAGCAGAUGUGUGUCUCUGUGAUGGCAAUAGGCCUACCCUUAAAGAAUGGCUAAAGGAAGUUCUCUGGACAGAAAAAAAAUGACAAAAGGAAGAAUCUUAGAAAAUUAGGAAGGAAAAGAAACAGAAAUAAUAAAAAUAUGGGUAAACAUAUUUUCUUUCUUUUCUUGAGUUUCUUAAAUUAUGUUUGAUGUUUGAAGCAAAAACAGUAACACUGAUAUGUUUCUAAAUCAUAUAGGAAGAAAUUAAAAAUAAUUGUAUUAUACAGAAAACAAGGUUAAAAAAAAGAAAAACAUAGAGACACAUCUAUAAUCUCAGCUACUGGGGAGGCUGAGGCAGAAGGAUGGCAAGCUGUACCACCAAGCUACACCCCCAGUCCUCAGUCUUUUGUUGUUGUUGUUGUUGUUGAUCCUCCUGCCUGGGCCUCCCAAGUCACUGGGAUUACAAGCAUGCAUCAUCAUGUCCAGAAAACACAUUAUUUUCAAGUGCACACUGAAUAUAUGCCAAGAUUAAUCAUAUCCUGGGCCAUAAAACAAACCUCAAAUAAUUGAAAAGAA
rnacentral:lncRNA from 1 species